AUUGAACGCUGGCGGCAUGCCUUACACAUGCAAGUCGAACGGCAGCACGGGUGCUUGCACCUGGUGGCGAGUGGCGAACGGGUGAGUAAUACAUCGGAACAUGUCCUGUAGUGGGGGAUAGCCCGGCGAAAGCCGGAUUAAUACCGCAUACGAUCUACGGAUGAAAGCGGGGGACCUUCGGGCCUCGCGCUUUAGGGUUGGCCGAUGGCUGAUUAGCUUGUUUGUGGGGUAGAGGCCUACCAAGGCGACGAUCGGGAGCUGGUCUGAGAGGGUGACCGGCCACAUUGGGACUGAGAUACGGCCCAGACUCCUACGGGAGGCAGCAGUGGGGAAUAUUGCACAAUGGGCGGAAGCCUGAUGCAGCAACGCCGCGUGCGGGAUGACGGCCUUCGGGUUGUAAACCGCUUUCGCCUGUGACGAAGCGUGAGUGACGGUAAUGGGUAAAGAAGCACCGGCUAACCACGUG
rnacentral:rRNA from 1 species